rnacentral:rRNA from 1 species
CUGAGAGGGCGACCGGCCACAUUGGGACUGAGAUACGGCCCAGACUCCUACGGGAGGCAGCACUGGGGAAUAUUGCACAAUGGGCGCAAGCCUGACGCAGCGACGCCGCGUGCCGGAUGACGGCCUUGGGGUUGUAAACCGCUUUUGACUGGGAGCAAGCCCUUCGGGGUGAGUGUACCUUUCGAAUAAGCACCGGNUAACUACGUGC